UGUUUGUUCCAGGCUACGUGAUAUUCCUCACCACGGACCAAACUGUCAGUGACUGGGUGAUGGGGGAAGUGACGGGGGACUGGCUCACCCUCACCGUCCAUGGACUGACGCCUUCAAGGAAGUAUUUGCACAAGAUGCACUCUCACAAUGUCAAAGGUUUUGGUCCAUUCUCCUCCGUGGAAAGCUUCACGACUUCCAGCUGUUGACAAGAGCAUCGGUGAGCCCCCAGGCUGGUGUGUGGAGCGAGAGGCCUGAUUGUGCUGGUGAUCGCUGGCGUGGCAGGAGCCAUGACCAGCUGGGGGCCUUCUUGGCCACCACACUGUACUGCCGCGGGUCAAGGCGGAGCCCAGGCCAAGCAUUGUUCUUGGCGGCAGCUGCAGUGAGAGCAACAAGCCUGGCGUCCAGCCUCCAGACCUGUGGAUCCAUCACGGCCACUUGGAGCUGAAGAACUUUGACAAGGGUGAGCGCAGCAACUCCCCCAACCACGCCUCCAUCAUCCAGCACACAGGAGUCGCGUCACAUCACAAUGGGACCGAAAAAGGACGAGAAGGGACAAGACAAGAAGAAAAGAUCUUCUGCUGCCUCUCCUGAUGAUGAUGAGCAACAAGAAGACACUCAAGAACAACCUGCCAAGAAAGUGAAGGGACGAUCCAAGAAGAGGUCAUUGUCUGCUACCGGGGAGACACCCCCUCCUCCAGCCCUCUUGCGUCACCAAUCCACUUGGACACAGAGCCCCAACCUGGUCAUGAUGAUGCU